UAGAGGGAGAGACGGAACCA
rnacentral:miRNA from 1 species